UGAAUAUUAUGGCAGCAGAAAUUAUUAUAUGAAACUACAGCAACAUCCUCCCUCAGCCUCGCACGACACCACCUGCCGCUCAACCUGCAAAAGGUUUCGAAAACAAUUGCAGGGCUGAGUACUAAUAUACUCAGUGGGUUUAGCCAUUUGAAAAAUCCAUUUAAAAGAAUAAUCCAUGCUAUGAACAGUAUAACAUAGAAAUAUUUGAAAGCAUUCUAUGCAACAUAAAANUAAAUUGUGGAUCCAUUUUCAGUCUUCUCUCUACUGGUGCUUCGCCUAUAAUGUGAACUUGUGGGAGCAGCCCACAGAGGUCCACUACCAUGCAUGUUUCAGAAAUGGGAGCAGCCCAAGUCUGACAGUCCGAGGCAAGUGGGAGCAGCCCACAAUACCCCCUUGUGUGUACACAAUCCUAACCAGGGCGAUCCAAUCGCUACGCCGGCUAGGACCCGAUCGUUAGAGAACAUAGGAGCACUUUAAACAAUAGAGAGAUAAAAUCAUUUUAACAUGGACAUUCAUUUGCAUUUGCAUAAAAACAAUUUAGAGCUCAAUAACUCAAAACAUACAUUGGAAAAUAAAAACCCACCUCGAUAAGACAAGCCUGUAGAUAAAAGAUGCACAAAUCCUCUUGCCUUGUAAAGCCAAUGCUAAAGCCUUCUAUCAAGUGGACCUACAAGAUAAUCUAAUCUUAAUAGGCCUCAAAAUAUCGUCUCUGCUAACAUUUCCAUAAAAUUCUUAAAUCCUAGUUCGGCAAUUAAUCGACCUCUCAUUAAACAUAACUAAAUCCCAAUUUCAAAAUACUUAUUGCAAAAGUAUAGCUUAAAACUUUUGAACUCUUCUGCAAACUCAUGCUAUAAUCACAGAUCUAAAAUCCCAUACUUAAUGCAUAAUAAUAUUUAUUAUGCAACUUUGAAUAAAUAACCAAGCCAAGGCUCAAAUUAAUCAAAAUAAAAUAAAAUAAAAACUUAAGUCCAAAUCUCUUAGUAUGAGCCCAAGUUCAAUCAAAUAAUUCUCAUGCAUCUGGCCCAAUUUAAAAAAAAACUGAAGCCCAAAAAUGAGGGCCCAAAUCAACCCAUCCCUUCCUCUUUUAAUUCUCUGUAUCGGUCUCUCUCUCUCUAUCCCAGCUCUCACCUUCCAUUCCUCCUUUCUCCCUCUGAAAUCUGCAGCCGCCUCGCCACUUCUCCAUCGCCGGCGACAACAGCGAUGUCGCCGUCGCGCCUCACUUUUCCCCCUCUCCGUUCUCUCCAUCUUGCUUCUCUCUCUCAAAGAUGAAAUCCCUAAAUUCCAAAAUCCCUAAAUCUGCCCCCUCCCAUCUCCUUCUCUCGGUUGGACGGUCAACGGCAAAGGACCACCGCCGCCAGCCACCUCCUACUCACCCUCUCAGACCCUCCCUUAUCUUUCUAUCGGCCGACGGACAGCAGGAGUUUCAGACCACCACCGCCGCCGUUCGCAACUGCCGACUCUAUCCCGCCUCCCCUCCUUCUCUCCUUCUAUCCGCGAUGACAGCCACGCCGGCGACAACAGCAGUAACCGCGCCGCCGCGGUGACCACAGCAGCACCGCUGCCUUCGCUCCCCCCUGCCCUGACUCGCCUCGACUCGACUCUCACAUCAACAACACAUAGCGAAAGAUUACAGAAAAUACAUGUAAGGCUCAAUUAGUCCAUAGACAUUCUGUAAACUUGUUUUCUUUUUCAUGUGUAGUUUCUGUAACAACCAUAUGUACAUCAAAAAAAAGCAAGAUAUGAUCUUUAUUCAUGUAUGCUAAUCAUCUUUUAUGAAUGUCCUGUUUGAUUGUAAAUAAAGAAUGGUUAUUAUGCUUUUGUGUGUGGUGUAUGAACAUGAUUGUUUGUUGAGAAGAAGUGUAGUGGGGCAAACCUUAAUGAGGAGUUCUGUUAUGAAGUAAAUUUUGAGGGCUGUGAUUUUGAGCUACGAACUGUCGCCUGCUACUCUUGGUGAGAAGAUGGGAUUUUGAGUUGUGUGUUGGGUGAAGAGUUAAGCUGCUUCGUGUGUGAUCGAAAGGGCGAGAAUGGCUAAAAUUUAUAGGGGAAACUGGCAGGAAGAAGAAGACGUGGAAGUACCCCUAUCAUGCACUAAAACUAACUACUGAUGAUCAUGUAAUGUGUCAAUUCUACUGCCCCAAGUAAUAGAUUAAAAACUCAUGCAAAAACUCAAGAUAUAUAUAUAUAUAUUCGGUCCACUUAAAGAUAUAGUGGGCUUCUUAAAUAAGUGAGCCUUUGCAAAUUGUUUACAAAGCCCAACAUCAAAAUAAUUUAUUGAGAUAGAAAAUAUAAGCACAUUGCCUUCAAAUAAUUUGAUAAAAUCUAUUAUUAAAAGGAAUACUUUUUCGAAAACAAAAAUAAUAAUAAUCCGGGCGAGA
rnacentral:lncRNA from 1 species